ensembl:snRNA U6 U6 spliceosomal RNA
AUGUUCACUUUGGCAGCACAUAUACUAACAGUGGAACGAAACAGAGAUUAGCUUGGCCUGAGCAAGGAUGACAUGAAAAUUCAUAAAGUGUUCCAUACUUUG